UCUCUUAUUAUCCACCUGAAUCUUGCUACUUCCUUCUCCUCUUUCGCUCUAUCACAUAUCAAUUGUUUCUACACAUCUUGCACGUACCUAACACCCUCUGCCAUCUCACUAACCCUCUGUUCCUUGACUCUCUCCUAGCCAGCAGAUUUGGAUUCCUGGUCUAAACAGUUGGAGAGGAAGGAGAAGGAACUGGCCAGCAUUUCCAGCUUCUAUAAAGAGCAACUAGCAACACUGGAGAAAAAGAACUUUGACAACUACGAGCAGACGACUGAACAGUUCAACCAAGCAGCUACUACAGCUGAGGCUCACAUCCG